GAUGAACGCUGGCGGCGUGCCUAAUACAUGCAAGUCGAGCGAACGGACAAGAAGCUUGCUUCUCUGAUGUUAGCGGCGGACGGGUGAGUAACACGUGGAUAACCUACCUAUAAGACUGGGAUAACUUCGGGAAACCGGAGCUAAUACCGGAUGAUAUUUUAAACCGCAUGGUUCAAAAGUGAAAGACGGUCUUGCUGUCACUUAUAGAUGGAUCCGCGCUGCAUUAGCUAGUUGGUAAGGUAACGGCUUACCAAGGCAACGAUGCAUAGCCGACCUGAGAGGGUGAUCGGCCACACUGGAACUGAGACACGGUCCAGACUCCUACGGGAGGCAGCAGUAGGGAAUCUUCCGCAAUGGGCGAAAGCCUGACGGAGCAACGCCGCGUGAGUGAUGAAGGUCUUCGGAUCGUAAAACUCUGUUAUUAGGGAAGAACAUAUGUGUAAGUAACUGUGCACAUCUUGACGGUACCUAAUCAGAAAGCCACGGCUAACCACGUG
rnacentral:rRNA from 1 species